UACGGGGGGGCAAGCGUUGUUCGGAAUUACUGGGCGUAAAGGGCUCGUAGGCGGCCAACUAAGUCCGACGUGAAAUCCCCAGGCUCAACCUGGGAACUGCGUCUGAUACUGGAUGGCUUGAAUCCGGGAGAGGGAUGCAGAAUUCCAGGUGUAGCGGUGAAAUGCGUAGAUAUCUGGAGGAAUACCGGUGGCGAAGGCGGCAUCCUGGACCGGCACUGACACUGAGGAGCGAAAGCCAGGGGAGCAAACGGG
rnacentral:rRNA from 1 species